rnacentral:misc_RNA from 1 species
UCCUCUCGUGCAUUCCUCUUCAAUUGCUGGCACAAGAGCUAGUUUCGCCUUGGCCGAGUUGUUGGUUUCCUGUGCUGCGUACCUACAUUGAUGGAAUUCGUCGGGCAAUCUAUACCAAGUUCUCCUACCGCUGCCCGAUUACACGGUGCGGCUUCGGGUGAACCUCAAAGCGAAAUUCGUGUUCCGAU